GGUUAAGCGACUAAGCGUACACGGUGGAUGCCCUGGCAGUCAGAGGCGAUGAAGGACGUGCUAAUCUGCGAAAAGCGUCGGUAAGGUGAUAUGAACCGUUAUAACCGGCGAUGUCCGAAUGGGGAAACCCAGUGCAAUUCGUUGCACUAUCGUUAACUGAAUACAUAGGUUAACGAGGCGAACCGGGGGAACUGAAACAUCUAAGUACCCCGAGGAAAAGAAAUCAACCGAGAUUCCCCCAGUAGCGGCGAGCGAACGGGGAGCAGCCCAGAGUCUGAAUCAGCUUGUGUGUUAGUGGAACGGUCUGGAAAGUCCGACGGUACAGGGUGAUAGUCCCGUACACCAAAAUGCACAGGCUGUGAACUCGAAGAGUAGGGCGGGACACGUGGUAUCCUGUCUGAAUAUGGGGGGACCAUCCUCCAAGGCUAAAUACUCCUGACUGACCGAUAGUGAACCAGUACCGUGAGGGAAAGGCGAAAAGAACCCCGGCGAGGGGAGUGAAAAAGAACCUGAAACCGUGUACGUACAAGCAGUGGGAGCACCUUCGGGUGUGACUGCGUACCUUUUGUAUAAUGGGUCAGCGACUUAUAUUCUGUAGCAAGGUUAACCGUAUAGGGGAGCCGCAGGGAAACCGAGUCUUAACUGGGCGUUAAGUUGCAGGGUAUAGACCCGAAACCCGGUGAUCUAGCCAUGGGCAGGUUGAAGGUUGGGUAACACUAACUGGAGGACCGAACCGACUAAUGUUGAAAAAUUAGCGGAUGACUUGUGGCUGGGGGUGAAAGGCCAAUCAAACCGGGAGAUAGCUGGUUCUCCCCGAAAGCUAUUUAGGUAGCGCCUCGUGAACUCAUCUUCGGGGGUAGAGCACUGUUUCGGCUAGGGGGUCAUCCCGACUUACCAACCCGAUGCAAACUACGAAUACCGAAGAAUGUUAUCACGGGAGACACACGGCGGGUGCUAACGUCCGUCGUGAAGAGGGAAACAACCCAGACCGCCAGCUAAGGUCCCAAAGUCAUGGUUAAGUGGGAAACGAUGUGGGAAGGCACAGACAGCCAGGAUGUUGGCUUAGAAGCAGCCAUCAUUUAAAGAAAGCGUAAUAGCUCACUGGUCGAGUCGGCCUGCGCGGAAGAUGUAACGGGGCUAAACCAUGCACCGAAGCUGCGGCAGCGACACGAUGUGUUGUUGGGUAGGGGAGCGUUCUGUAAGCCUGCGAAGGUGACCUGUGAGGGUUGCUGGAGGUAUCAGAAGUGCGAAUGCUGACAUAAGUAACGAUAAAGCGGGUGAAAAGCCCGCUCGCCGGAAGACCAAGGGUUCCUGUCCAACGUUAAUCGGGGCAGGGUGAGUCGACCCCUAAGGCGAGGCCGAAAGGCGUAGUCGAUGGGAAACAGGUUAAUAUUCCUGUACUUGGUGUUACUGCGAAGGGGGGACGGAGAAGGCUAUGUUAGCCGGGCGACGGUUGUCCCGGUUUAAGCAUGUAGGCUGGUUGUCCAGGCAAAUCCGGAUAAUCAAGGCUGAGGUGUGAUGACGAGGCACUACGGUGCUGAAGUAACAAAUGCCCUGCUUCCAGGAAAAGCCUCUAAGCAUCAGGUAACAUUAAAUCGUACCCCAAACCGACACAGGUGGUCAGGUAGAGAAUACCAAGGCGCUUGAGAGAACUCGGGUGAAGGAACUAGGCAAAAUGGUGCCGUAACUUCGGGAGAAGGCACGCUGGUGUGUAGGUGAAGCCCCUGCGGGUGGAGCUGAGACCAGUCGAAGAUACCAGCUGGCUGCAACUGUUUAUUAAAAACACAGCACUGUGCAAACACGAAAGUGGACGUAUACGGUGUGACGCCUGCCCGGUGCCGGAAGGUUAAUUGAUGGGGUUAUCCGUAAGGAGAAGCUCUUGAUCGAAGCCCCGGUAAACGGCGGCCGUAACUAUAACGGUCCUAAGGUAGCGAAAUUCCUUGUCGGGUAAGUUCCGACCUGCACGAAUGGCGUAAUGAUGGCCAGGCUGUCUCCACCCGAGACUCAGUGAAAUUGAACUCGCUGUGAAGAUGCAGUGUACCCGCGGCAAGACGGAAAGACCCCGUGAACCUUUACUAUAGCUUGACACUGAACAUUGAGCCUUGAUGUGUAGGAUAGGUGGGAGGCUUUGAAGCGUGGACGCCAGUCUGCGUGGAGCCAACCUUGAAAUACCACCCUUUAAUGUUUGAUGUUCUAACGUUGGCCCCUGACCGGGGUUGCGGACAGUGUCUGGUGGGUAGUUUGACUGGGGCGGUCUCCUCCCAAAGCGUAACGGAGGAGCACGAAGGUUAGCUAAUCCUGGUCGGACAUCAGGAGGUUAGUGCAAUGGCAUAAGCUAGCUUGACUGCGAGCGUGACGGCGCGAGCAGGUGCGAAAGCAGGUCAUAGUGAUCCGGUGGUUCUGAAUGGAAGGGCCAUCGCUCAACGGAUAAAAGGUACUCCGGGGAUAACAGGCUGAUACCGCCCAAGAGUUCAUAUCGACGGCGGUGUUUGGCACCUCGAUGUCGGCUCAUCACAUCCUGGGGCUGAAGUAGGUCCCAAGGGUAUGGCUGUUCGCCAUUUAAAGUGGUACGCGAGCUGGGUUUAGAACGUCGUGAGACAGUUCGGUCCCUAUCUGCCGUGGGCGCUGGAGAAUUGAGGGGGGCUGCUCCUAGUACGAGAGGACCGGAGUGGACGCAUCACUGGUGUUCGGGUUGUCAUGCCAAUGGCACUGCCCGGUAGCUAAAUGCGGAAGAGAUAAGUGCUGAAAGCAUCUAAGCACGAAACUUGCCCCGAGAUGAGUUCUCCCUGAGACUUUAAGUCUCCUGAAGGAACGUUAAAGACGAUGACGUUGAUAGGCCGGGUGUGUAAGCGCAGCGAUGCGUUGAGCUAACCGGUACUAAUGAACCGUGAGGCUUAACCUU
rnacentral:rRNA from 1 species